rnacentral:rRNA from 1 species
CCUACGGGAGGCAGCAGUGAGGAAUAUUGGUCAAUGGGCGGGAGCCUGAACCAGCCAAGCCGCGUGAGGGAAGAAGGUACAGCGUAUUGUAAACCUCUUUUGUCAGGGAACAAAGGCGGGGACUAGUCCCCGGAUGAGGGUACCUGAAGAAAAAGCAUCGGCUAACUCCGUGCCAGCAGCCGCGGUAAUACGGAGGAUGCGAGCGUUAUCCGGAUUUAUUGGGUUUAAGGGGUGCGCAGGCGGCCUGUUAAGUCAGCGGUAAAAGCCCGGGGCUCAACCCCGGCGAGCCGUUGAAACUGGCGGGCUGGAGUUGGAGAGAAGUAGGCGGAAUGCGCGGUGUAGCGGUGAAAUGCGUAGAUAUCGCGCAGAACCCCGAUGGCGAAGGCAGCGUACCGGCUCCACACUGACGCUGAGGCACGAAAGCGUGGGGAUCGAACAGGAUUAGAUACCCUUGUAGUC